AAAGGUACUACACACUAAAAAAUGUGGAGCACCAGCCUGGCAUGCAUGAGGCCCUGAGUUCACUUCGCAAACCACAAAAGAAACUCCGCUACUUAAAGAGAAA